rnacentral:lncRNA from 1 species
GUUUGAGGCUACCCUGGUCUACAAAGGGAUUCCAAGACAGUCAAGGCUUGUUACUCAGAGAAACCCAGUCUUGAAAAACAACAAGAAAAAUGAUUAUUCAUGCCAGGUAGUGGUGGCUCAUGCCUUAAUCCCAGCACUUAGGAGGCAGAGGUAGACAGAUUUCUGAGUCGACAGAGUGAGUUCCAGGACUGCCAGGGCUACACAGAGAAACCCUGUCUCAAACAAACAAGCAAAACCAAAAAAACAAACAAACAAAACCCAAUGAUUAUUCUUGUUCCUAUCAGGUCCCUGUUUAUAAAAAAUGAUUGUUAGUGAGGAAUGUUCCUUAUGGAGUUAGGAGUCUUAGCAGUUAGGAGGCUGAGGCAGCAGGAUAUGAGGCUAAGGCCAAUCCCAAGCUUGAGACCAGGUCUCAAGCCUCUCAGUUUAUCAAAGGAGACUCUUCCCGAUUACCCAUUUGUGAAGGGAGGGCUCAUAUUACAGGGCUCAGAGUUGGAUUGGGUUUGCUGCUUCUAAAAACUUCAUUAUCACUGUGCUUGCCGAGUGAAAGUCUUGGGACCACAUUUGACCCUAAUUGUUUUGAGAUCUUAAUGUCACUUUCCCAAAAGUUUUAAAUGACUUGUUUGACGCUGAUAAAGUGUUCAGACUUUACAGAGCUUUGUAUAGUAGAGAAAAACUUAGAUGAUUGCACUGAGAUGUAUUUGUAGGCUGUAUCGUGGGCCUGAUAACUGGGACAUAUUUAAAUAGACGAGUGCACAUUCAGGUGUAAAAGCAUUUUUUCUUUAAUGUAUUUACUCAUAUUGCCACCUGUUAAUUAUUAUAGUCUUUUUUUUCCCCUUUUCUAUUUUCUUUUUUGUCUUUCAUUUGGCAGAAAAGACAGCUUUGAUUUCUGGCUGCAAAAAAGCUAUGAGGAAGAGCUCCUCCCCUUCCUUGAGUAACUGCAACUCCGAUCUUGCUAGCAAAAUAUUUGGAAUUCCACUUGAUGAGCUGCAGCAGGGAGGACAUCCAGACAAUGAGGUUCCGUUCAUAGUCCGCCACGUUGUGGACUAUAUUGAGGAACAUGGUAUACAUUUCCUUAUUUUGAGGGCUAGCUUUUGUUGUAAUGAACACAAUUUACCCCUUUUUGAUUUUGGAUUUAAUUUUUUCUUAAAAUAAUGCAAAGCAUGGAGAACAAUAUAAACACUAAGAAACAAUAAAAAGAUAUUUUUAUUUAAAUUGAUUUACCUGGAAAUGGCAGUUACCCAGCUGAGAACAUUUUCAGCGGGGGUAAUAGGAAAUUUUAAAAUGGAUAUAAAGGGUGGGAUGAAAGAAUAUCCCUCAGAGAUACUAUGUGUUAGAUGAUCAGUUUGUUUUUUAAUUAAAUCUGGGGAGCCCAGAAAGGCUUUCCAAAAGUGUGAGCAUUUUAAGUUGAGAAUGAAUAUGAAUAUGCAUAUGUGGCUAGACACUUGAAGGUGCAGCUUAAUUCUUGCCUUGAACUAACAUAGGAGGUCUGGAGCAACAAGGGCUGUUUCAAGUCAAUGGGAAUGCUGAGACAGUGGAGUGGCUUCGGCAGAGAUACGACAGUGGAGAAGAGGUGGACUUGGUUAAGGAAGCGGACGUCCCCUCAGCCAUUAGUCUCCUUAGGUUUUUCCUGCAGGAGCUCCCUGAGCCCGUCAUACCUGGCAGCUUGCAUAUUCACUUGCUGCAGCUUUCUCAAGGUAACAGUUGGAUUUUUAUCAGUCAUGUAUUAUUAGUUUUAGAGUCCUUACCUUUUAGAAAUCUGAUAUGUAGUUAGUUUAGUAUAUAUAUUUCAGAGAUUAAUUUUUAUUUCCUUGUUUGUCCUCUGGGUAUAUAGUUAAGGGAGUGGCAAAAUUCUUGGAUCUUUGUAGUACUUAUUAAAAAAAUUAAGUAUGUAUUUUUGUGUAUAUGAUGUAUGUGUUUAUAUGUGAGCGUGCAUGUGUCCCACUGUGUGAGUAUGGGCAUCAGGGGACAGCCUUGAGUGUUGUUCCUCAACUUCCUACUUUUCCAUGGAUUCCGGAGAUCCAGACAGUUGGGGAAUUGAACUUAGGGUUCCAGACUUUGUGGCAAGUGCCUCUAUAUGCUGAGCUAGUCCUCUGGCCUGAGCUAAAAUAAAGCUUACAGGUGUCUAUAGAGAAAUAGAUGAUAAAUACAAAAUAUACAGGACAAAUUGGAGAUGGUAGGUCUAAUUAGUGUUAAUCGAAUGUUGCUUUUAAUUGAUAUAAGUGACUUAAAAGUUUUUUUUUGUUUUUUGUUUUCUUCAAGACAGGGUUUCUCUGUGUAGCCCUGGCUGUCCUGGAACACUGUAGACCAGGCUGGCCUCGAGCUCAGAAAUCGGCCUGCCUCUGCCACUUAAAUGCUGGAAUUAAAGGCGUGCGCCCCCUGGCUUAUUUUUUUUUAAAUUAUGAAUAUAUGUGUGUCUGUGUGAGUGAAGGUUUCUGCAGAGUCCCAAGAGAUUGUCAGAUCCUCUUUUGCUAAGGAACUGAACUAAAAAUCUCUGCAAGAGCAGCACAUACCGAAUCGCUAAAGCCAUGUCUGUCUGUUUGUCUCUCUAUCUGUCUGUCUGUCUGUCUGUCUCUCUCCCUCUCUCUCUGGAAGCUCUUCACAGAAGUUAACAAAUAUUUAUUUACCUGUCUGCCUAUGUGGGUUUUUUUUGUUUUGUUUUGUUUUUUUUUUUUGGUUUUUGUGUGGCAGGGUCUCUCUAUGUAGUCUUGGCUGUCCUAGACUUCACUGUGUAGCCUCUGGAAUGCUGGUAUUAAAGCUUGUACAACCACACCCAGUUACAAUUAAUUUUCCACUAAUUAUAGGCGUGAUGUCUUAAAAACAUUAAAUUAUUAAAAUAUUAAAUAUGUGAUAGUUAUGUCUAUAAUCUUAGGCAUGUUUCAUUCAGUUGUGAGAUCAGAGUACUGGUAUAUUUAUUUGAAUGUAUAGUUGCUAAUAUCGCAAAGUAUAGGAAAGUCAUUGCGUUUAAAAAUCUUAAGUAAAUCAUGUGACUAUACCUCUUCCUGAUACACUUUGUGUGUGUGUGUGUAUGGAGACAAGAGGUUGAUGUCAGUUGUCUAGUCACUCUCUACCUUAUUUUUUGAGAUAGGUCUCUCCCUGAAUUUAGAGUUCUGAGUCACCUAGACUGGCUGGCCAGCAAGCUCCAGGGUUCCUCAUGACUCUGCCUCUCUGUCCUGGUAUUACAGGGACGUAUCUCUGUAUUUGGCUUCUUAUGGGAUGUUGGGGAUGCUUGUGCAGCAAGAAUUUUACUGACUUAAGCUGUCUCCCCAGCUUAAGAUAAACUGUUUAUACGUCUGUUGUCUUGCAGAAAUGGCCAAUAUUAUUAUGGCCCUAAAUAACCUUUUACCACUGUCCCCCUAUGAGUUAAUUUUAAGAAACCUGC